GUUUGGGGAAGCUUUAUACUGUUCUGCAUAGAAGUUAUGAUUUUCAUGUGCAAAUUUUAAGGCCAAUACCGCACCAUGACACAACAAAGGGCAGGCAGAGUCAGGCAGGUGGGAAGGUCAGCAGGGGUCAAAAGGAGAAUAGAAAAGGAGUACAGGGGAAAACACAUUGGGUUAACUUGACUAAUAUACAAGAUGAACUGCCACAGAGAGACAGGCAACACAGGGAUAAAUACACUGGUAUAGAGAGACAGGAAACACAGGGAUAAAUACACUGGUACAGAGAGACAGGAAACACAGGGAUAAAUAUACUGGCACAGAGAGACAGGAAACACAGGGAUAAAUACACUGGCACAGAGAGACAGGAAACACAGGGAUAAAUAUACUGGCACAGAGAGACAGGAAACACAGGGAUAAAUACACUGGCACAGAGAGACAGGAAACACAGGGAUAAAUAUACUGGCACAGAGAGACAGGAAACACAGGGAUAAAUACACUGGCACAGAGAGACAGGAAACACAGGGAUAAAUAUACUGGCACAGAGAGACAGGAAACACAGGGAUAAAUACACUGGCACAGAGAGACAGGAAACACAGGGAUAAAUAUACUGGCACAGAGAGACAGGAAACACAGGGAUAAAUACACUGGCACAGAGAGACAGGAAACACAGGGAUAAAUAUACUGGCACAGAGAGACAGGAAACACAGGGAUAAAUACACAGGGGAAAAUAAGCGACACCUGGAGGGGGUGGAGACAAUAACGAGGACAGGUGAAACAGAUCAGGGGGUGGAGACAAUAACGAGGACAGGUGAAACAGAUCAGGGUGUGGAGACAAUAACGAGGACAGGUGAAACAGAUCAGGGUGUGGAGACAAUAACGAGGACAGGUUGAAACAGAUCAGGGGGUGGAGACAAUAACGAGGACAGGUGAAACAGAUCAGGGGGUGGAGACAAUAACAAGGACAGGUGAAACAGAUCGGGGGGUGGAGACAAUAACGAGGACAGGUGAAACAGAUCGGGGUUGGAGACAAUAACGAGGACAGGUGAAACAGAUCGGGGGGUGGAGACAAUAACGAGGACAGGUGAAACAGAUCAGGGGGUGGAGACAAUAACGAGGACAGGUGAAACAGAUCAGGGGGUGGAGACAAUAACGAGGACAGGUGAAACAGAUCAGGGGGUGGAGACAAUAACGAGGACAGGUGAAACAGAUCAGGGGGUGGAGACAAUAACGAGGACAGGUGAAACAGAUCAGGGGGUGGAGACAAUAACGAGGACAGGUGAAACAGAUCAGGGGGUGGAGACAAUAACGAGGACAGGUGAAACAGAUCAGGGGGUGGAGACAAUAACGAGGACAGGUGAAACAGAUCAGGGGGUGGAGACAAUAACGAGGACAGGUGAAACAGAUCAGGGGGUGGAGACAAUAACGAGGACAGGUGAAACAGAUCAGGGGGUGGAGACAAUAACGAGGACAGGUGAAACAGAUCAGGGGGUGGAGACAAUAACGAGGACAGGUGAAACAGAUCAGGGGGUGGAGACAAUAACGAGGACAGGUGAAACAGAUCAGGGGGUGGAGACAAUAACGAGGACAGGUGAAACAGAUCAGGGGGUGGAGACAAUAACGAGGACAGGUGAAACAGAUCAGGGGGUGGAGACAAUAACGAGGACAGGUGAAACAGAUCAGGGGGUGACAGCAGUAAGCCUUUAACUUCCAUUACUCUUUCACACCGACGACUGGUGAUUGUCGAACGGUAGAUUGUUGUAAAGAUUUUUCAAAUAGCAUACUGUCAGGAACUAUAUUUUAAAAUGAUUAGCAUUUGUAAUGGAUCUUUAAAUUAUUAUUUUUUUUUUUUUACUUUUCUCCAUUUCUGGGCAGCAUGUUCAGGCGUGCGUGCUCCCCCAACAUUAUCAGGACACAAAUAGACCAGACACAUGCUCCCCCAACAUUAUCAGGACACAAAGAGACCAGACACAUGCUCCCCCAACAUUAUCAGGACACAAAGAGACCAGACACAUGCUCCCCCAACAUUAUCAGGACACAAAGAGACCAGACACAUGCUCCACCAACAUUAUCAGGACAGAGAGACCAGACACAUGCUCCCCCAACAUUAACAGGACAGAGAGACCAGACACAUGCUCCACCAACAUUAUCAGGACAGAGAGACCAGACACAUGCACCCUCAACACUAUCAGGGCAGAGAGACCAGACACAUGCACCCUCAACACUAUCAGGACAGAGAGACCAGACACAUGCACCCUCAACACUAUCAGGACAGAGAGACCAGACACAUGCACCCUCAACACUAUCAGGACAGAGAGACCAGACACAUGCUCAUUGCUCACAU